rnacentral:rRNA from 1 species
UACGUAGGGUGCAAGCGUUGUCCGGAAUUAUUGGGCGUAAAGAGCUCGUAGGCGGUCUGUCGCGUCUGCUGUGAAAACUCAGGGCUUAACCCUGAGCUUGCAGUGGGUACGGGCAGACUAGAGUGCGGUAGGGAGACUGGAAUUCCUGGUGAUAGCGGUGAAAUGACGCAGAUAUCAGGAGGAACACCGGUGGCGAAGGCGGCUAUCUGGCCAUGUACUGGACGCUGAAGACACGAAAGCCGUGGGGAGCAAACAGG